CUGAUCAAAACUCAUCGUUUCAUUUAUGUGAUGACUUAUACUCUGCGUUUCUUCUAGCGUCACGUGCCAGCCGCAAGAUAUUUAGGGUUUGGUAUUCCGCUUCAGUAAUUAACGAAGAGUCUUCUUCUUCAAUCUCUGAUAUAGCUAUGGAGUUUUGAUAUCUUCAAUCCACAUGAAGAAUCGUUUUUGAAUCUUCGACCUGGCCUUCUGUCUUCUCUUCAGAGAUCUGUUACUGAAUGCACCUUAUUCAUCUGCAAGGCGGUUUCUCUACUUCUAUAAAAGAUAGAGCAGCAUUACGUGGCUCAAGGUUUGAGUAUUGUUGGCUACUUUCAUACGAACAAGAGGUUUGGCAAAGUGGAGCUCUCUGGUGUCGCUAAUAAUAUCGGUGAUCACAUCUCUCUCUAUUUCCCUCAUGCGCCAAUCCCCUAGGCAAAGCUCUUACAUUCUGCUUUCACAUCAUAUAUAUAGAUUAGUGCAAGCAUUUUUUGGGUUCUGGUGGUGUUAUUUAGACAUCAUAAUUUCUACCAUAGCCUCUUAAAAGGGCAAGGAAACCUCGCUAAUGACGCUGAGAAGUUAAUAUCUUCAUCACAGCAAGAGGUCUCUAUCUUAUCCCACUCACAAGUAAAAUUAUCUAACACCGAUUGAUCUAACUCUUUCUUUGAAAGUAUUGGGUAAGAAGCUGCUGUAAAGAACAACUAUGGAGGGCUCAUGCCAAAGAACCUCCUCUGAUUUCCAAGGUCGGUUCAUUUAUCUACAUCUAAAGAGUUUUUUUUUGUGUUUCUGUGGUGUGUUGUUUUAUAUAAGGAUUAUGAGCAACCAUACUUUGAUUCAGCUGACUGGGCUCUUUGAAAGUAAGCAAAACAGAUGGAGGAGGUGGCAAAAUUGAUCAACGGGAAGGAGAUUGACUUUGAGGAGUUAAAACCCAAGCCAGUGUUUUAAAGGAAACGUUUCGUGACAACAUUUAACAGCCUUUUUGUUUGAAUCCUAUGUUCUAAACGUAAUCUGCGACGUUGAUUCUUUCUAGCCAAGAGCUAUUCUCUCUCAUUAUUUGUCGCUGCAGGCUAUCUUUGUCAUCAAAUAUAGUUUUAUCUGGCCUCUGCAA